GUGGGGAAUUGUUCGCAAUGGACGAAAGUCUGACGACGCAACGCCGCGUGAAGGAUGAAGGUCUUCGGAUUGUAAACUUCUGUUGGGUGGGAAGAACUGUUUCCGGAUCAAUACCCCGGAGAUCUUACGGUACCACCUGAGGAAGCCCCGGCUAACUCUGUGCCAGCAGCCGCGGUAAUACCGAGGGGGCAAGCGUUGUUCGGAAUUACUGGGCGUAAAGGGCGCGUAGGCGGCCUAUUAAGUCAGACGUGAAAUCCCUCGGCUCAACCGGGGAACUGCGUCUGAUACUGGUGGGCUUGAGUUCGGGAGAGGAAUGUGGAAUUCCAGGUGUAGCGGUGAAAUGCGUAGAUAUCUGGAGGAACACCGGUGGCGAAGGCGGCAUUCUGGACCGACACUGACGCUGAGGCGCGAAAGCCAGGGGAGCAAA
rnacentral:rRNA from 1 species